UACAGAGGGUGCAAGCGUUAAUCGGAAUUACUGGGCGUAAAGCGUGCGUAGACGGUCAUGUAAGUCGGGUGUGAAAGCCCCGGGCUCAACCUGGGAAUUGCAUUCGAGACUGCAUGGCUAGGAUGCGGAAGAGGGAAGCGGAAUUUCCGGUGUAGCGGUGAAAUGCGUAGAUAUCCGGAGGAACACCGGUGGCGAAGGCGGCUUCCUGGACCGACACUGACGCUGAGGCGCGAAAGCUAAGGGAGCAAACGGG
rnacentral:rRNA from 1 species